GAUGAACGCUGGCGGCGUGCCUAACACAUGCAAGUCGAACGAGAUGCGUAUCGGAAAGCUUCGGCCGGAAGAUGCGUUAUCUAGUGGCGGACGGGUGAGUAACACGUGGGUAACCUGCCUUAUGGAGGGGGAUAACAGAGAGAAAUCACUGCUAAUACCGCAUAAGCACACAGUACGCAUGGUACAGGGUGAAAAGAUUUAUCGCCAUAAGAUGGACCCGCGUCUGAUUAGCCAGUUGGCAGGGUAAAAGCCUACCAAAGCAAAGAUCAGUAGCCGAUCUGAGAGGAUGACCGGCCACAUUGGGACUGAGACACGGCCCAAACUCCUACGGGAGGCAGCAGUGGGGAAUAUUGCACAAUGGGGGAAACCCUGAUGCAGCGACGCCGCGUGAGUGAAGAAGUAUUUCGGUAUGUAAAGCUCUAUCAGCAGGGAAGAUAAUGACAGUACCUGACUAAGAAGCCCCGGCUAACUACGUGCCAGCAGCCGCCGUAA
rnacentral:rRNA from 1 species